rnacentral:rRNA from 1 species
CCUACGGGAGGCUGCAGUGGGGAAUAUUGGACAAUGGGGGGAACCCUGAUCCAGCCAUGCCGCGUGUGUGAAGAAGGCCCUCGGGUUGUAAAGCACUUUCAGUGAGGAAGAACGCCUGGUGGUUAAUACCCAUCAGGAAAGACAUCACUCACAGAAGAAGCACCGGCUAACUCCGUGCCAGCAGCCGCGGUAAUACAGGAGGGUGCGAGCGUUAAUCGGAAUUACUGGGCGUAAAGCGCGCGUAGGUGGCUUGAUAAGCCGGUUGGGAAAGCCCCGGGCUCAACCUGGGAACGGCAUCCGGAACUGUCAAGCUAGAGUGCAGGAGAGGAAGGUAGAAUUCCCGGUGUAGCGGUGAAAUGCGUAGAGAUCGGGAGGAAUACCAGUGGCGAAGGCGGCCUUCUGGACUGAAACUGACACUGAGGUGCGAAAGCGUGGGUAGCAAACAGGAUUAGAUACCCCGGUAGUC